GGAAUAUCAGAAGUAGUCUGUAUGGAACUGUGAGGCUGUUAAACAUACAAUUGCGGAGGCACAAGAGAGAUUGCAAAUGCUGGAAUCUGGAGCAAAGUGCUGGAGGAACUCAACGGGUCAAGCAGCAGCUGUGGAGCUGAAAGGAGAAGCAUGCGACAAUGCAAGGGAAGCUGAAG